UACGUUAGGUGGCAAGCGUUGUCCGGAUUUAUUGGGUUUAAAGGGUGCGUAGGCGGUCUAUUAAGUCAGUGCUGAAAUACUCCAGCUUAACUGGAGGGGUGGCAUUGAUACUGAUGGACUUGAGUACAGAUGAGGUAGGCGGAAUGACGGUGUAGCGGUGAAAUGCAUAGAGAUCGGGAGGAAGGCCGGUGGCGAAGGCGGCGCUC
rnacentral:rRNA from 1 species